rnacentral:rRNA from 1 species
UCUACGGGAGGCAGCAGUGGGGAAUUUUGGACAAUGGGCGCAAGCCUGAUCCAGCAAUGCCGCGUGUGUGAAGAAGGCCUUCGGGUUGUAAACUGCUUUUGUACGGAACGAAAAGGUUUGGCCUAAUACGCUGGACUCAUGACGGUACCGUAAGAAUAAGCACCGGCUAACUACGUGCCAGCAGCCGCGGUAAUA